UACGUAGGCAGCGAGCGUUGUUCGGAGUUACUGGGCGUAAAGGGUGUGUAGGCGGUUGUUUAAGUUUGGUGUGAAAUCUCCCGGGCUCAACUGGGAGGGUGCGCCGAAUACUGAAUGACUUGGAGUGCGGGAGAGGAGAGUGGAAUUCCUGGUGUAGCGGUGAAAUGCGUAGAUAUCAGGAGGAACACCGGUGGUGUAGACGGCUCUCUGGACCGUAACUGACGCUGAGACACGAAAAGCGUGGGUAGCAAACAGG
rnacentral:rRNA from 1 species